rnacentral:rRNA from 1 species
CUUACUAUCUAGCCCAUAUUUCUGCAUAUGACUUUACACUAAUCUAAAUAAACUAAAAUAUUUCAACAAUUAAGUAAAGAUGAUUAAAAAAUUAACCGGAGCUAUAAAUUUGUACCGCAAGGGAGAGAUGAAAUAAUAAUGAAAACGCAAGCACAAAAAAGUAGAGUUUUCCCCUCGUACCUUUUGCAUCAUGAUUUAACUAGUCCAACUAAGCAAAAUGAUUUUAAGUUUAACAUCCCGAAACUAGGUGAGCUACUCUAAGGCAGCUUACUGAGCAAACCCGUCUCUGUGGCAAAAGAGUGGGGAGACCUUAAAGUAGAGGUGACAAGCCUAACGAACCUAGUGAUAGCUGGUUACUCAGGAAAAGAAUUUUAGUUCAACCUAAAGCUACAAUAAUCUCUUACUAAAUAAAAGUUUAACUUUAGAGUUAUUCAAAUAGGGCACAGCCUAUUUGAAACAGGAUACAACCUAGACUAAUGGGUAAACACAUGAACCAAAUAAUAAAGUAGGCCUAAAAGCAGCCAUCUACAAUUAAAGCGUCACAGCUACCUUACUUAAUCAACAAAUAACCUAAACAACAAUGAACCCUUAAAUUGUACUGAGUACUUCUAUACACCUAUAGAACCUUUUAUGUUAAAACUAGUAACAAGAAGAAAAUUCUUCUCUCCUAUGUAAAUGUAUGCCAGAAAGAACCCCCCACUGUCAACUAACAAUCUAAAAUAGCAACCUAUUUACAAGAAAACCCUAUUUAUUCAUCUGUUAACCUAACACAAGAACAUACCUAGAAAGAUUAAAAGAAAAAGAAGGAACUCGGCAAAUAUUAGCCCCGCCUGUUUACCAAAAACAUCGCCUCUUGAUUAGAAUAAGAGGUCUUGCCUGCCCAGUGACUUGUUCAACGGCCGCAGUAUCCUAACUGCGCGAAGGUAGCGUAAUCACUUGUUUUUUAAAUUAAGACCAGUAUGAAAGGCGCCACGAGGGUUAAACUGUCUCCUUUUUCUUAUCAGUGAAACUAAUCUUCCCGUGAAGAAGCGGGAAUAAACUUAUAAGACGAGAAGACCCUAUGGAGCUUCAAACAAAAAACACUGCUUAAUCAAUUUUUACAUCUCACCGCAUUUUGAUUUUUAGUUUUAGGUUGGGGUGACCACGGAGAAAACCUACCCUCCAUGAUGAACGGGACUAACCCCUAAUAAAAGAGUCACAACUCUAUUACUCAGUAAACUGACACCCAUUGAUCCAAUAUUUUGAUCAACGAACCAAGUUACCCUAGGGAUAACAGCGCAAUCCGCUUCAAGAGUUCAUAUCGACAGGCGGGUUUACGACCUCGAUGUUGGAUCAGGGUAUCCUAGUGGCGCAACCGCUACUAAGGGUUCGUUUGUUCAACGAUUAAAACCCUACGUGAUCUGAGUUCAGACCGGAGUAAUCCAGGUCGGUUUCUAUCUAUAAAGGGCUUUUUCUAGUACGAAAGGACCGAAAUAGCAUGGCCUAUAUACUAUAUAAGCCAUAUUAAUAAUUUCUGAAUUUUUCUUAAUUAAUAUUUAACCUUUAACAAACCUCAAGAUAAGAAGA